UACGUAGGGGGCAAGCGUUGUCCGGAUUUAUUGGGCGUAAAGAGCGUGUAGGCGGCCGCACAGGUCCGUUGUGAAAACUGGAGGCUUAACCUUCAGACGUCGAUGGAAACCGUGCGGCUAGAGUCCGGAAGAGGAGAAUGGAAUUCCACGUGUAGCGGUGAAAUGCGUAGAGAUCAGGAGGAACACCCGUGGCGAAGGCGGCCCUCUGGCUCGACCCUGACGCUGAGAGGCGAAAGCGUGGGGAGCGAACGGG
rnacentral:rRNA from 1 species